rnacentral:rRNA from 1 species
CCUACGGGAGGCAGCAGUGAGGAAUAUUGGUCAAUGGACGAGAGUCUGAACCAGCCAAGUAGCGUGAAGGAUGACUGCCCUAUGGGUUGUAAACUUCUUUUAUAUGGGAAUAAAAUGUUCCACGUGUGGGAUUUUGUAUGUACCAUAUGAAUAAGGCUCGGCUAACUCCGUGCCAGCAGCCGCGGUAAUACGGAGGAUCCGAGCGUUAUCCGGAUUUAGUGGGUUUAAAGGGAGCGUAGGUGGUUUGUUAAGUCCGUUGUGAAAGUUUGCGGCUCAACCGUAGAAGUGCAGUUGAAACUGGCGGUCUUGAGUGCAGGAGAGGUGAGCGGAAUUCGUGGUGUAGCGGUGAAAUGCGUAGAUAUCACGAAGAACUCCGAUUGCGAAGGCAGCUCACUGGACUGCAACUGACACUGAGGCUCGAAAGUGUGGGUAUCAAACAGGAUUAGAUACCCCAGUAGUC